GAUGAAGAACGUAGUGAAAUGCGAUAAGUAGUGUGAAUUGCAGAAUUCAGUGAAUCAUCGAAUCUUUGAACGCACAUUGCGCCCCUUGGUAUCCCGAGGGGCAUGCCUGUUCGAGCGUCAUUUCACCACUCAAGCCUGGCUUGGUGUUGGGCGACGUCCUCUUUGGGGACGCGCCUCGAAACGCUCGGCGGCGUGGCACCGGCUUUAAGCGUAGCAGAAUCUUUCGCUUUGGAAGUCGGGGCCCCGCCUGCCGGAAUACCUACUUGUAAGGUUGACCUCGGAUCAGGCAGGGAUACCCGCUGAACUUAAGCAUAUCAAUAAGCGGAGGA
rnacentral:misc_RNA from 1 species